ACAUAAUCAAGCAGAGAAAUCUCCGGUUCCAGCACGUACUUUAUGGUGGUUAUUUUCGAAGAAAAACUGCAUAUAUCCUUUGUUUAAGGUUGCAUCGCCGUUUCACAAUUUUGAACGUCAUUAAGCCUGCUGACAACGCUCAUCGGUCUCCAGAGUCGUGACGUAAGAAAGCCUAACCAGGAACGAGGCUUGCAAAUGAGCCUGUGACUAGAAGUCUGAUGCACUCUGACAUGGCUUACCUGUGACAUGGCUUACCUGUGACAUGGCUUACCUGUGACAUGGCUUACCUGUGGGUAACAAUGUUUCAUUCUACUGGCCAUGUCUAACGAACAAAUACAAAUAAAAUGUUCAUCCGACCGGAUGAAAAAGAUGACUUACUUUCUCGGGGAAAGGGUAGUUUGCAUGCAGUACACGUACCAGGACAGCAGGAGUCAGUGUAGAGGUACUCCAGGAAGGACAGGAAGGUGUCGGAGGAGACGCCAUGGAUGGGCACCACUCGGCUGCGAGCCUCUGCGUACUUCCCACUAAACAUGGCCGCCAUGACGUCACAGCGAGCUACCAGGACUGCUCGACUCUUGCAUCAUACCUGCCGUCAAAACUCUAAAGAAAGACUGCAUUAGGGGCGGCAUGGCGUAGUGGGUAGAGCGGCCGUGCCAGAAACCUGAGGGUUGCAGGUUCGCUCCCCGCCUCUUGAC